ACAGUUUGAUUCUGGCUCAGGAUGAACGCUGGCGGCGUGCUUAACACAUGCAAGUCGAACGGGAAUUACUUUAUUGAAACUUCUGUCGAUUUACUUUAAUUCUAAUGGCGGACGGGUGAGUAACGCUUGGGUAACCUGCCUUAUACAGGGGGAUAACAGUCAGAAAUGGCUGCUAAUACCGCAUAAGCGCACAGAGCUGCAUGGCUCAGUGUGAAAAACUCCGGUGGUAUAAGAUGGACCCGCGUUGGAUUAGCUGGUUGGUGGGGUAACGGCCCACCAAGGCGACGAUCCAUAGCCGGCCUGAGAGGGUGAACGGCCACAUUGGGACUGAGACACGGCCCAGACUCCUACGGGAGGCAGCAGUGGGGAAUAUUGCACAAUGGGGGAAACCCUGAUGCAGCGACGCCGCGUGAAGGAAGAAGUAUCUCGGUAUGUAAACUUCUAUCAGCAGGGAAGAUAGUGACGGUACCUGACUAAGAAGCCCCGGCUAACUACGUGCCAGCAGCCGCGGUAAUACGUAGGGGGCAAGCGUUAUCCGGAUUUACUGGGUGUAAAGGGAGCGUAGACGGUGUGGCAAGUCUGAUGUGAAAGGCAUGGGCUCAACCUGUGGACUGCAUUGGAAACUGUCAUACUUGAGUGCCGGAGGGGUAAGCGGAAUUCCUAGUGUAGCGGUGAAAUGCGUAGAUAUUAGGAGGAACACCAGUGGCGAAGGCGGCUUACUGGACGGUAACUGACGUUGAGGCUCGAAAGCGUGGGGAGCAAACAAGAGUAGAUACCCUGGUAGUCCACGCCGUAAAC
rnacentral:rRNA from 1 species